rnacentral:rRNA from 1 species
GGAAUGAGUUAAGUAUAAACCCCUUUACAAGUAUCAAUUGGAGGGCAAGUCUGGUGCCAGCAGCCGCGGUAAUUCCAGCUCCAAUAGCGUAUAUUAAAGUUGUUGCAGUUAAAAAGCUCGUAGUUGGAUUUCUGUUAAUAAUUUAUAUAAAAUAUUUUGAUGAAUAUUUAUAUAAUAUUAACAUAAUUCAUAUUACUAUUUUUUUUUUUAGUAUAUGAAAUU